rnacentral:rRNA from 1 species
GACGAACGCUGGCGGCGUGCUUAACACAUGCAAGUCGAACGAAGAGCGAUGGAAGCUUGCUUCUAUCAAUCUUAGUGGCGAACGGGUGAGUAACGCGUAAUCAACCUGCCCUUCAGAGGGGGACAACAGUUGGAAACGACUGCUAAUACCGCAUACGAUCUAAUCUCGGCAUCGAGGAUAGAUGAAAGGUGGCCUCUACAUGUAAGCUAUCACUGAAGGAGGGGAUUGCGUCUGAUUAGCUAGUUGGAGGGGUAACGGCCCACCAAGGCGAUGAUCAGUAGCCGGUCUGAGAGGAUGGACGGCCACAUUGGGACUGAGACACGGCCCAGACUCCUACGGGAGGCAGCAGUGGGGAAUCUUCCGCAAUGGACGAAAGUCUGACGGAGCAACGCCGCGUGAGUGAUGACGGCCGUCGGGUUGUAAAGCUCUGUUAAUCGGGACGAAAGGCCUUCUUGCGAAUAGUGAGAAGGAUUGACGGUACCGGAAUAGAAAGCCACGGCUAACUACGUG